CAGCAGCCGCGGGAAUACGGAGGGGGCUAGCGUUGUUCGGAAUUACUGGGCGUAAAGCGCACGUAGGCGGCUUGGUAAGUUAGAGGUGAAAGCCCAGGGCUCAACCCUGGAAUUGCAUUUAAGACUGCCGAGCUAGUAGGUGAGAGAGGUAAGUGGAAUUCCGAGUGUAGAGGUGAAAUUCGUAGAUAUUCGGUAGAACACCAGUGGCGAAGGCGGCUUACUGGCUCAUUCUAGACGCUGAGGUGCGAAAGCGUGGGGAGCAAACCGGAUUAGAUACCCCUGUAGUCCCUGUCUCUUAUAC
rnacentral:rRNA from 1 species